rnacentral:lncRNA from 1 species
CUGGAAAGUAGUACUGUGUUCCCUGAGGGAAAUCAGACACCUGCUCUCUGCUAAGGAUGAAAUUUAAAGGAACAACAUUAUUUACUGUUAAUUCUCUCCGUUUACCAGAGAGUCUUCUUUUUUAGAAUUAAUGAAUAAUGGUUGAAAUCUGGUCCUGCUAUAAAAUAACCAUGGGGACUAUAUAAACGUGUUUUGCUUGCAUUUUUUAUUUUUAGUUUUUAUUUUUAUUUUUACAAGCAAACUAUAAAACAUUUUUUCAAGAAGUUUUGUUUUGCUAGCAAUAGUUUUCCACUGCAGAGAAUAAUGAAUUACAAGUUCCAAAAUGAAAUGGAGCCCUGGAGCUCCUUCAUCUUUGCCCUUGAAACUUCUGAAAAGUUUGAAUCAAGGUCUAAAGGAAAGUUUCCUCCCCCUUCCUUGCAGCUGAGCUUUUGAGAAUCACAUACACACUUUUCUAUUUUUACUUUCUAGCCUGGGCCCAUUUCCAAUUUUAAAACUGUGGGAUUCCUGCACUCCUACAUAUGUGAGACCCAGACUGAACUCAAAGGAUGGGCCAGUUUACCCUCCUUUUCCUCCCAACCAGCUUAGUUUCAUAACAGUGCACAAUUGAAAUUGGAGACCACUUGGGUUUCCUUACUUUGAAAAAGCUCAGAAGAAACAUUUACAACUCCUAAUGAACGACUGCAGAGAGGAGUUGAAAUUAAGUCAGCAGAGAUCACGAUUUGUUUUGGCUCAGAUCCUAAUCCAGUUUAUAAUCCAAGGUCUGGAGUCCCAGUACCAGAUUACUCUGAGUGAUGAAGAAAUGAUAGCCAGGAACUCUGUAGACACAGACAAGGAAAAUCUGUGAUAUCCUCCUAUGUGUUGCUCUUACCUGAAGGAAGUCAAAAUGGAUUUCUCCUUAUUCUAUAUUGACUACCCCUGACAAAUGCCUGCUGUGGCCAAUUCUUCAUGGGUAGGUAUUUUCAAAACACCAUUUCAACCUGAGAAAGUGUGUGAAGAUGUCAGACUAUCAGGAAAAAUUGUAUGAUUAUUUCUCCUUGCAUACUGUGGUCCUAGUUUCAUUGUGUCUUUAUGUCUUCCCUCUCAACAGUACUAAUUCACCUGGCUUUGUUAUGGGAGAUUAAUGAAAAAGUCUGAUUCUAGUACCUUUUCUGGGUGCAAAAUUCUCAGCAAAAUAGUUCCCAGUGUAUGAAAUCUGUUCUGGUAACUGAAUCCCUUUCUGUCAAAGCAAAAUGAAAUCUCUAGAAAUUCCUUCAUGAUUUGGCUUUGUAAAAAUCCCCAUCUUCCCCUUACAGGCCUCAGUAGAGAAGCUGCAAUUACUGUGCUCGUACUCUGUCUUUAUUCCCUCACACAAUUUUUUUUUGUAUUCUGAAGUAUUUGUAUAGCUUGUUGCUUCAACUGUUGGACUUUCAUUGUCUGCUGUUAUAGAAUAAGCAGUCCAAUCCAAUCCUCAAUCCAAAAGUUGAAGGACUAUAAAACACUGCUUGUCUAAUGAACUUAGAUUGAGAUAUACUAGGAUAGACAAAGUCACUGUCCAGAUGUUUCUGAAGAGAAAUAUUGUUUUUCUCACCCUGCCCCCCAUUUUUUUUUUUCCUUGAUUGAAUCAAAUCACCUUUAUUGUAACUUUGUGAUUGUUUCCUUGCUUCCAUGUUCCAUAAGGGAUGAGCAGAAAAUAUAAUUGUGCCAUGAAGAGAAGUGAGUGGGUUACAAGUGGCUACAGUGAAAAUGCUUGCCAUUGCCAAGAACAGAAAAACAAACAAACAAAAACAACGGGUCUUAGGAUAUGAUCAACUCCUGCUAGGCCAGAAGACUAACAGUUUGCCAGCACAUCUCCUAAAAACAUUACAAAUGGAUGAGUAAGUGUGAUGAGGCUGAGGAGAUGAUAAAUAACACUUUAAAAUUAUCUCAGUACAAAUUAGAAGGGCUGGGACACACUGAAGAAGUCACUUUUAGUCUUAUAAUCUUCAAAUAUUGAACUACUUCAUAUUCAUAUGUAUAAAUAUUAGAAUCCUUGACAACUAUCUCAUCACUACCAGAACUGUGAUAAAGAGAUUUAUUUUCUAACAUGUAUAGGAUCCUGCUCAGGAGAAAUGGAUUACAACAUAGUUCAAAAACAUUUGUUUAAACAUUGAUAAUGACUUUCUCUGUUAUCCUUUUUAUGCUCAUAUAUAUUAUUUGUAAAGUUUAACAUUUCGACAUAUACAUAUCUGAAUGAAAAUAUGACUGUAACCAUACAGGUUAUAUGACUAUACUUGAUGUGGAUUUUGAAGGCCUAAUACAGUUCUUGGAUUGGUUGCUUGCUUCUAAUAUGAAGUCUGAAAAGUCAUUUCAGAUUUUUUAGCCUCAUUUCUCCAUCUGUAGAAAGAGGUGAUUAUGUUCAGUUUUCACCUAUCUUUUCUCACUAGCUUAUUUAAAAAUCCUAUUGGGCUGUGACCUUCUUUACAGGCAUUCCCCAAAUUUAGGACCUUGAACAGUACUGGGAUUUCUAAAAUCUGUCACAGCAUGACUAAUGGUCUGGAGAAUGUCCUUCAACAAGUGUAUCCAAACAGCAGUAUUCAUACUCCAAUUAGUUUUUUUUUUUUUCAACCCUUUCUUGCUGAGGUUGCCUCCCAUAGUUUCCAUACUCAAAGAGCAAGUAAUACUGCAUAACUUGGUAUUAAAUAAAACAAACAAAUAAAUACA